UGAGUAACACGUAUCCAACCUGCCGUCUACUCUUGGACAGCCUUCUGAAAGGAAGAGUUAAUACAAGAUGGCAUCAUGAGUCCGCAUGUUCACAUGAUUAAAGGUAUUCCGGUAGACGAUGGGGGAGCGUUCCAUUAGAUAGUAGGCGGGGUAACGGCCCACCUAGUCUUCGAUGGAUAGGGGUUCUGAGAGGAAGGUCCCCCACAUUGGAACUGAGACACGGUCCAA
rnacentral:rRNA from 1 species